UUAAAACCAUGCCCUAUAGCCUUAUGGUUCUUAUGUUGUGGAUUCCUUCUCUGCUGCAUCUAAGUCAGAGAACUCUUGUUUCUCUGCUUUGGUUAUAUGCAUAUUUCAAGAUUGGUUAAUGCUAUCUUACCUGCAUGGUAGUUCUUGCAGUAGAAUCUACAUAUCACUGAAUUUAGCUCCAUUGUUAUGUAUUCAUAACUCUAAACUAUCCAUAAUUGUUUAUCUACUUAUAUCCAUGUUUAUUUACAGAACAAUGUUAUUUCCAGUAGCACAAUUAUCUUUAUUCCUAAAAGAGCUGCUCGAGUACAAAUCAACUAUGUUACAUUGUUUCUUCUUUGGCUGCUGGGAAUUUCUUACAUGGUUUAGUAGAGAUGGUACAUGGUUCAUGUGCAUGAUAAAAGGACGACUGCCUGGGUUACUUCUGAAACUAUGAGAUCAUUUUGUGCUUGCUAUAGAGUGGUUAUCACUGAAGAAGGGAGCCAAUGGUUCAAAGUAAGUGCAUCAAAAUGCCAUCCUUCUUAGUGUCGUCAGACACGUGUAGGUCGAGGGCUAAACGAUACGCUGAAACCAUGGCCUUCAUUGCGACUCUUGGGCAUCCCUACAUGCCGGAUUCACUAUCCAUGAAACACACACUUCAUGCUUUGAUGAUGACUGACUUCAUGGGGGAAAUAUCGCGUAUGCGGCUGAAGUAUGCUACAUGUGCUGCUACUAUCCGUCAUGAAGAAGAGAAGAUGAUGCUGGAACUGUUAACCUCCGCUCCACACGAGCCCAACCGAGGAGAAUGAGCGGUUCAACGGUGUGACAAUACACGCUGAAGAAGUUAUAGUGGUAGUGUUUAGUGUUGUGUUAAACUGAUAGAAUAUCAUCUAUCUCUUGAUCAUCUAUCUAUCGUAAGAUUUGUACUCAGAAUCAUCAAUAUUUUGUAGGCAUGAUGUAUGGAAGUAUUAUCAUGUCUCC